rnacentral:tRNA from 1 species
GGAUAAUUGGCUCGGGCGAAGGCGACUGAAAAUCGCUAGGUCCCCGGUUCAAUCCCGGGAGUGACCAC